CAGAACAUUCAUGCGAACUGGAUCUAGUUGGGUGGAGUUUACUAUCAUGACAGAUCUCAGAACGGAAAUGUCGUCGACGAGGAUCUCCACAGUCACAUCUGUGACGAACAUCCGGCUCCAACGAUGUUAAAAGAAAGAAAGAAAAAAAAGCAAGAAAAAGGACUUAGUAUACGUCAAACGGUCGUACGAUUGGACAGAGUGAAGUAAACGCAAAUCGAUGUCGUCGCGAUUGGUUCUAUUCGCGCGGUAAACGUCGCGGUUUCUUUUGAUCCGUUCUUCGAUAUAUCGCUGUUAGGCGUAUACACACGCGUAUAAGAGGAGGGAUCGAGAGCGAUCUCGACGCUGUCGCUUGGCUCGUCGAAUCUUGAGUGUUCUCCUCGAGAGAACGUCCUUUGAGAUCCUCUCGAUCAUCUUUUUUCCUUGUUAUCCUUGUUCUUUUUUUUUCUUUUUUUUUUUUCUUUCCUUUUGUAUCAAUACACACGCACGUAACGUAUUAAUUUCAAUUUGUAGUUGUAAUAUUUUAAAACGUAAAUCUUCGCUAAUCUUUCGCAAAUUUUUUUCUUCGAGCUCAUAAAAUUGAUAAUUAAAAUCAUAUAAAAAAAAUGCCGAUUUCCAUUUUUUUGUUUUAUUUUGUUUUGUUUUCGACAUCUAUCUCUUACGCAAACAUUUAUAAAUACUUCUAUGUAAUACCAUACUUAUAAAAAUGGUAAAUAGAGAAUCUUUCUUCUAAGUAAUGUCAAAAUUUUCCCAGAAUUUAUUUGAAGUUGACGAACGUGCUAUAAUAUUCAAUAAGGUUUAAAGAUGGAGAGAUUUCUUCUUCUUCAAGAAUUAAUUCCGCGUUUCUUUCUCGUCUAUCGAGUAUGGAACACGCGUUCGUCGUGAACAUACACAAAUAAGCAAGGAUCAGAAGUUAGCAAAACGAAGAUCGAAGAUCGAUGAAGGGAUCGAGGAGAUCGAUAUUGUGCCUUCUUGCUUGCUUGCUCACUUGUUCGCCGUGUUCGGGCGAGGCUCUAAAGUCUACGACGAGGAGACUUAAAUCAAUCACGAUAAUCAUGGUUUCGUUAGUUCGACGACGAUUUUCACCAAGGAUUACAACUUCCAACGAUUCCUGUAGAGUCGUUUUUCCGCGAAAGUUAUCAAUGGCCGCACGAAUGCGAGAAAAGAUGUGUGUAUUCAAGCACGUAAGUGACUACGUGUACGUAUGUAUGUGUACGUCGUAAGGAUCUUUAAACGGCACCGGUGCUCCCCAGAAAACAAGUGGUCUAGCCAGUUGAACAAAUUACCUACACUUAUUCCAGUGAUUUAGCGAAGUUAACAUAUGUAAUCUGAACUCGAAUGAAACUUCAAUCUCCGAGCAAAUGGAAAAGCACGUGUCCCGUAAUAACAUAAAGGUCACUAACCGGAAUGGGAAAUACGAGGAGAGUAGAGAUAGUUUAGAAUCUCAAGUUGUUCUUUAUUUUCAUCGUUUUUAAACUAUCGUUCUUAUUGCUUUUUUUUUUUUUAGGAAGGAGGGAUGGGUAUAUAAGUAUUAUUUGAUGGUUCAUACUAUACGGUAUAGUUUGUCGUUGUUCGAACGCAGAACUCAGCUCGAAGAUAUCGACGUCUCUCUGGCAUGCCACUUACCUUGGAGACUGUAUUCUCGUUCUACCCACGUAAAGAAACAAGACGGUCGAUGUUAGACGUCUUCUUUGAGCAUAAAUUUCGAGUAUAUAUUGAAAGAAUAUAAUUGUUCUGUUGAAUUUUCAAUGAGCAUCUUAUAAAAUAUUGAUCCUACGUUAUUAAACGAGCUAUCCUUCUGUAUUCGUCAAUAUUAUCUUGAAAAUGAGUCUAAGAGUUUUAACAUAUUUAAAUGAACCUAUCGUUUUUGGAUAGGAGAAAGCGAUUUAACUAGAUCUCUUAACUUUGAAAGAACUCGUUUAGGGCGAUUAAAUAAACAGAUAAAGUUUAAAUGAUUUUAUCAUUACACACUGUAGUUGCCACGAUGCGCUAUGAUAUUUGUCGAAUUUCAUAUGACUGUCUUAGUUAUAAAAAAAAAAAAAAUUAUCAAUAUAAAGAUAUGGAAAUAAUUUUUUCAUUAGAAAACGCGCUACGCGGAUAAUUAACGUAAUUUCAUACGGCUUGCUUAGCUAGAUAUAGAUGUAUGAUUUUUAUUGAAAUUUAUUCAACUAUAAGAAAUAUGUCUACGUAGACGCACUAUGAGACGUCGAGAUUUCAAUUUUAUUAAGAAGAACAUGGCGCCGUUCGAAGAAGAGCAAGUAUGGAAUGCUGUGCAUUGCCUUUUUCCGAGUCAAGAGGUGAAGCAAUUUGAAAGUCCUGCUACCAUCAGAGAAUCCACGUCACUCUUGUAAUGUUCUAUGGAAAGAAGUGUUGGAACAUCAUGGAAGUAAAUCCGAAUGUAACUAUAUGAAACUCGACUGGCAAUUACCCCGACAGCAUAGAGGACUUCAACAUCUUAGUCGAAUAACUGUAGGACAAAUUUUUCAAUUUUUUUGUCAUCCUCCUUUAUCAAGCAAAUGAUGCUCAGUCUUCGAAAUAUUUAAUUUUAGAUAA